GACGUAGGGCGCAAGCGUUGUCCGGAUUUAUUGGGCGUAAAGAGCUCGUAGGCGGCCUGUCGCGUCGACCGUGAAAACCCGCAGCUCAACUGCGGGCUUGCGGUCGAUACGGGCAGGCUGGAGUUCGGUAGGGGAGACAGGAAUUCCUGGUGUAGCGGUGAAAUGCGCAGAUAUCAGGAGGAACACCGGUGGCGAAGGCGGGUCUCUGGGCCGAUACUGACGCUGAGGAGCGAAAGCGUGGGGAGCGAACAGG
rnacentral:rRNA from 1 species